rnacentral:rRNA from 1 species
UACGUAGGUGGCAAGCGUUGUCCGGAAUUAUUGGGCGUAAAGCGCGCGCAGGCGGUCCUUUAAGUCUGAUGUGAAAGCCCACGGCUCAACCGUGGAGGGUCAUUGGAAACUGGGGGACUUGAGUACAGAAGAGGAAAGCGGAAUUCCAAGUGUAGCGGUGAAAUGCGUAGAGAUUUGGAGGAACACCAGUGGCGAAGGCGGCUUUCUGGUCUGUAACUGACGCUGAGGCGCGAAAAGCGUGGGGAGCAAACAGGG